GCGACCCCAGGUCAGGCGGGACUACCCGCUGAGUUUAAGCAUAUAAAUAAGCGGAGGAGAAGAAACUACAAG
rnacentral:rRNA from 1 species